ensembl:rRNA 5S_rRNA 5S ribosomal RNA
GUCUAUGGCCAUACCACCCUGAACACGCCCGAUCUCAUCUGAUCUCGGAAGCUAAGCAGGGUAGGGCCUGGUUAGUACUUGGAUGGGAGCCAGUGAUUGUUUCAAGGACCUAGCCC